CUACUGUAUGAAAGGAGAGAAAGUUAGCACUCCCCUUGAUAAGGAUGGAAGAGGUCCUCGUGGCCUUUACAACAUGUGUGUGGUUAAGGCAUUGCCACAUACUCUGUGGCAUCUAAGUAUGUUAUAGU